UCACCAAUCCAAUAGUUCUGAUCAUUCAAAUUUCAGAUCCAUAGGUUACAAGCCGCACCAACCAUUCAUGUUGCACACACAUCACUAGCCUACAAGAACGAGCAGUUACUACCUCACGAGCAUUGCAAAAUGAAAGAGUUGCCAGUUUGACAUGUCAGUUUCCUUACAACAGAAUUAGAACAACAUCACCACAAGCUCACUACAUCUCCCCUCCCACACAUCGAUUUAUAACUUAACACUUAAUUAGCACUUGAAACUUGACACUGCUACCAGCUUUCAAGAUCACUACAUCCCCCCUGCACUCGUAACAUGCCGAGCAGCCACACAUGAUUUGUUGCAUUGUCUUCCUUUUGUCCGGAUUCAGUCAACUCUUUCCAUAUCGGAUACCAAAUCCAUGCUCCCAAGGAAACAAAAGCAGUACGCCUUCAUGAUCAAGUCAAAUAUGGUGCCCAAUUCUAGCUUGAUCGCCUCUUCUCAAUCUCUUUUAUUUAUUUAUUUGGAUUGCCUACCACAUGUGUCACGUGGUAC
rnacentral:lncRNA from 1 species